rnacentral:rRNA from 1 species
UACGGGGGGGGCAAGCGUUGUUCGGAAUUACUGGGCGUAAAGGGCUCGUAGGUGGCCAACUAAGUCAGACGUGAAAUCCCUCAGCUUAACUGGGGAACUGCGUCUGAUACUGGCGGACUUGAGGACAGGAGAGGAACGCGGAAUUCCAGGUGUAGCGGUGAAAUGCGUAGAUAUCUGGAGGAACACCGGUGGCGAAGGCGGCGUUCUGGACUGUUUCUGACACUGAAAAACGAAAGCCAGGGGAGCAAACGGG